UUCCAAUUUUUCAACCACCUGAUUCUUUUAGAUGGAUUUAAUGAAUGUGUUACCUCUGCCUGGCAGCAACAUGAUCCGGGCAAUCCCUUCCAUGCCCUUUCUGCUAAGCUCAAAAGAACAAAACAAGCUCUUAUCCACCUCAACCAUUCCAUUGGUAACCCGUCUUCUUCGGUCAAGAAUGCUACUGCUGAGUUACACAGAGUGCAAAACUUAAUCUCAAGCAGGCCCCAUGAUAAUACUCUCCUUUCCCAGGAACAAAGUUGUCUUCAUGUUCUUUGGAAUUCCUUGGCUUUAGAGGAGACCAUGCUACAUCAGAAAUCUAGAGCUACUUG
rnacentral:lncRNA from 1 species